UACGGAAGGGGCUAGCGUUGUUCGGAAUUACUGGGCGUAAAGAGCGCGUAGGCGGCUUACCAAGUUGGGGGUGAAAUCCCGGAGCUCAACUCCGGAACUGCCUUCAAAACUGGUAGGCUCGAGUCCGGAAGAGGUGCGUGGAAUUCCCAGUGUAGAGGUGAAAUUCGUAGAUAUUGGGAAGAACACCGGUGGCGAAGGCGGCGCCCUGGUCCGUUACUGACGCUGAGGUGCGAAAGCGUGGGGAGCAAACAGG
rnacentral:rRNA from 1 species